UAGAAAAGAAAAUCUUCUCUUCUCCCACAUAUUCGUUAAGCUCAAAUCAACAAUGCAACCAGAAUUUGUCAACGAAAAGCUAUGGGCAAGGGAGAGUUUAGAAGAGUUACCCUUCUACUUGAAAAUUUUAACUUCUAAGCAAACAAAUUUCAUGGUUUUCCACUACAUGCAGCUGCCCUCUCCUUUCUAGCUUCAUUCCUUUCUUCCUCUUUUCAUUUCGGCCAAGAAGAACCGAUUUCUUCUUUUCUUUCCUUCUCAAGUCACGGCAAUGGAGGGGGGGAACAUGGAUGAGACAACUUUGUUCUCAUCACCCUCCCUUUUCAUUUCUUUAUUACUAACCCUUUAUUAUAUUCUUUCUCCCAUAACACACUAACACAACAUGUUUCCAACAUGUUUCACCCCAUAACAUUUUGUCCACUCUCAUGCUCAUGGCCGGCCACUACUAAUUAGGGGAGAAAUUGACAUGCAAGUCCACCCUUUUUAUUUCAUGCACUAAUAGAUCCUUAUGUUUUGACCUAUCACAUUUCAAAAGUGUCACACAUAAGUCCUAUUGACUAAAUUCACAUGCAAUUUACUAAAUCAAAGCUUAAAACUUUCACACAUUCGUAUUCACAUAUAAUAGUCAUAAAAUAUGACGGCUAAUUAUUUUUAUGACUCGAUUUUGUGGUCCCGAAACCACUUUUCGACUAGGGUCAAAUUAGGGGUGUCACAGAAUUUACACUCUGAGCUUUGUCCAAUACAAUGGAGUUUGGCAUUUUCGGCCAUAUAAUGCCUCAUAAGGCACCAUUUUUUGCUCAACUGAAAACUGUUAUUAUAGGCAAAUUCAACUAACGACAAAUAUUUUUCCCAACUACCUUGGAAUUCUAGAGCACAACAUUGGAACAUAUCUUCUAAAAUAUGAAUCACCCUCUCGGAUUGACCGUCAAUUUGUGGAUGGAAAGCUGUACUAAAACUCAAUUUCAUACCCAAAGCUUUUUGCAAAUUUUUCCAAAACGUGAAGUGAACCUCAGAUCUCUAUCCGAUAUAAUAGAAAUAGGUACUCCAUGAAGUCUAACAAUUUCAGCAAUGUACAGAUCAGCAUGCUUAUUAAGUGAGUAAUCAGUACGUACCGGUAUAAAAUGAGUUGAUUUCGCCAAUCUGUCUACGACAACCCAAACGGCUUCCAUCUUUUUCAGAGUCAAAGGUAAACCUGUCACAAAAUCCAUGGUAAUUCUGUCCCAUUUCCACUCAGGAACCAUCACAGGGUGAAGUAAACCUGAAGGUACUUGGUGUACAACCUUUACUUGUUGACAAAUCAAGCAUUUCAAAACAAACUCCGAGAUAUCUCGUUUCAUGCCUACCACAAAUACAUUUUCUUCAAAUCACAAUACAUUUUUGUACUACCUAGAUGAAUAGACAAACAAACACUAUGUGCCUCAUUAAGAAUCUUCUGAAUCAACUAUAUAUCUUUAUGAACACAUAUCCUACAUCAGAAUCUCAAAUAAUCAUCGGAGUCAAUUUGAAAUUCUGAGUCAUCACCUGAUUCACACUGAAUUCUAUUGGCUUGCAACUCACUGUCACACUUUUGAGUUUCGUAAAUCUACUUAAGAAACAUCGGUCUAGCUCUCAACUCGGCUAGAAUUGAACCAUUAUCGGAUAAAGUCAACUGUGUAUUCAUGGUUCUCAAAGUAAACAAAGAUUUCCUACUCAAAGUACCGGCCACUACAUUCGCCUUUCCUAGAUGAUAAUCGAUCACAAGCUCAUAGUCUUUUUGUAACACCCCUAACCCGUAACCGACAUUGGAUUAGGGUUACGAGGCAUUACCAGACAGAUAGAACAUUUUCGACCUAUUCAGAAUCACAGGUAUUAUUUAACAUCAUUUCAUAAGCAAUCAUCUCUAAAUAUGGUCGACGAGACCUAAAACAUACAUUUAAGAAUGGUUAGAGCUAAACCGAACACAUUCAUAAAAUUCAGAAUAUAGAAAAUUUUUCCAAUUCUGUUGAGGUCACACACCCAUGCGUCCAGGCUAUGUGCCUCACACGGGCAUCAGACAAACCCAUGUAAACCAGCCGUGCCAAAUCUGGGUAACCAUACUGACUUUCACCCAUGGCCAUUAGGCACGCCUGUGUGCUAUGGCCCUGUGAUACUUAGCUAGCUACUGAUUAAGCCCACGGCCAUAUGACAUGCUCGUGUCCCCUGACCGUGUGGCACCAUGUAGGCUUGAUUUAAGCCAAAUUUCCACCCCUUUUAGAGGUCAUCCUUACAAGCCAUAUUAAACAACAUUCAUACAACAAUUUUCAACCAAUUCCAUGCUCAAAACAUGCUUCAUUAUAAUAAAAACAUAUUAGCUCAUAAAACACUACAACCAUACAUCAUUUGGCACCAUCAACCAAAUACUAAACUAUAUACAACUUUUCAUUUUCUAGCCAACUCUCAUGGCAUAAUAUAUACACAUCAAAACUUAAUACAUAGACCUUCUAGCCUAUACAUGCCAUACUUUAAAAUAUGUACACUUUCAAAAGUACCAAAAUGAGUUCAAUAGUAUCCCCGAGCCUUGAGUAGCUACAAUAACUGUAAAAGUGUGACAGCCCUAAAGUGACCCUAGUCGAAAAGCGGUUUUGGGACCGCUAAACCGAGUCACCAAAUUAUUUGAAUAUGAUAUUUAUUGUCUAAAAUAUGUGAAUAUAAAUGUGUGAAAGUUUUAAGCUUCGAUUUAGUAAAUUGCAUGUGAAUUUAGUCAAUAGGACUUAUGUGUGACACUUUUGAAAUGUGAUAGAUCAAAACAUAAGGAUCUAUUAGUGCAUGUAAGAAAAAGGGGGGACUUGCAUGUCAAUUUCCCUCCCCCCAUUUAGUAGUGGCCGGCCAUGACAAAUAGGGUGGACAAGGUGUGAUGGGCAAAACAUGUCAUAGACAUGUUAUGUUGGUGCAUCAUGGGAGGAACAACAAAAUAAAAAGUUAGUAAUAAAGAAAUGGAAAAAGGAAAAUGAUGAAAGAAAAAAAAAGGGAUCAUCAUUCAUGUUCUUGCUAGCCGAAUCUAAAGAAAAAAAAGGGAACAAGAGCAUUCGGUGAUGAAAACAAGUUCUGUCCUUUGAUUCUUCUUGGCCGAAUUAAAAGGAGGAAGAAAUGAGUGAAGUAAUCGGCCAUCUUAGGUCAAUAUUAAGGUAAGGUGUUCAUAUUAGUUCUUGAAAUUUUAGUUGAUCUUGAGUGAGAUAUCAAGUUAUUUUUUUUUGUAACCCAUGAUGAAAUUUUGAUUUUGGAUUGAGUAAGGUUUUUGACUAUGGUAGUUAAUAAUGGUGAGUUUUGUUGUUUCAUGUUAAAGUUAGGUGAAUGAUGAUGGAUGAGUGUUUGAACCAUAAAAAGAAUUCGGCUACCUUGUUAUGAACUAGGGCCGAAUGUGAGUUGGUUGUGGUUGAAUAUUGCAUGCUUGGUAGAAUGGUGGAUGAAAGUGCCGAAUGUGGUCUUUGGUUUGGCAUGAAGUGAUAAAUAAAGGUUUAAAAGAUAGCUUAAGUUAAUUGAUACUCACUAAUGAGUUCGAAUGGAAGCUUUGUUAAGUGGGAAAUGAGUGGCCGAGAGAGAGGAUAAUGGACUAUUGCCGAAUGUAUGUUGGAUUGAUAGAGUCUCCAAAUUGAUUUUAUGUGUGUAUGCAUGACCGAAUAUAAUCAGCCACAUGAGUAAAGAAAUGGGUUAUUUGAUAUGUGGUAAAAGUUAAGUGUUAAACGAAAUGGAAAUGAAAUCAUAUUGGAAUAUGUAUACUCGACCACAUGAAUGAGUACAUAGGUUGAUGUGUAUGUUUGGCCAUAGGUAAACAUAUUGAUGGCUUUAUCUUGACUUAGAAAAUUCGGCUAAGGUGAAUAUUGGCUAAUAUGUUGAGUUGAUUCAUGAUUUCAUAUGUAUGUGACUUUAGUGUCUAAUGUAUAUAUAUGAGCUAAGUACCUUGAGUUCCUCUUUUGAUGCUCAAAUGAUUAAAUCAAUUUAUUUGUUAAAUUAAGCUCAAGAGCAAAGGGGAACUAAAUCCGAUAAAGGGAAGGAAAAAGUGGUCGAAUAGCCAUCGAAAUCGUUCGACAACAUCCAAGGUAAGUUUCCGAGCAAUGAGACUUAGUUUAUGAUUUGAUUAAGUCAUAAUGUAUGUGCAUAGAGAUCGUGUUAUAAAGCAAACUAAACCAUGCUGUUUGUAUGUGGCUAGUGAGCCGAAAUGGGAAUGCUUAAUACGUGACUUGUGUUUGAACUCUAAUUAUGAAAAUGAAAUUAGAUGUGUCAUGAUUUAUUGAUAUGUGCAUGAAUGUUCGGAUGAUAACCGGGCUAAGUCCCGAGAGCAUUUGAGCUAGUGGCUAAUUCCGGGUUAAGUCCCGAAGGCAUUCGUGUGAGCUACUAUAUCCGGGCUAAGUCUCGAAGGCGUUUGUACGAGCUAUUAUAUCCGGGCUAAGUCCCGAAGGCAUUUGUGUGAGUUAUUAUACCAGGCUAAGUCCCGAAGGCAUUUGUGCAAGUUACUAUAACCGGGCUAAGUCCUGAAGGCAUUUGAGCUAGUGGCUAUAUCCGGCUAAACUCCGAAGGUACUUGGUUUGAGAACGAGUGAUCUUGCUGUAAUAAUUUAAAUUGAUACGCUCGUAAAACCCAACGAUGAGGUACGUUUCGUAUAUGCAUUAGGGUGGUGAUUCCGUUUAAAUAAUAUUCGCUCAGUAAAUUAAUGAGCUUCCGGCCUUGGCUAAGUUGAUAUUUUGUGUAUGAAUAUAAGGGUCGGUAAUGUGAAGUAAGUAUGAUAUUGAGAAUUUGUGCAUAUGAGAUUAUCCGUUUAGCCAUAUGAAUGCUAUACUUUGGUUGUGUCUAAUUUCAUGGCUCAAACUUACUAAGCAUUAAAUGCUUACUCCGUUUCUUUGAUUCUCUGUUCUAUAGAUUUUGGGUUCGUCAGCUAUCGGACUCGGGAUUGUUGAAGUCGAAGUCGUCCACACUAUCAAAGCCCAUUUUUGGUACACUUUUGGUUGAACUUUGAAAUGGCAUGUAUAGGACUACCCGUUUUGUUGUUGCUCAUGGACCCUUUGGUUUUGUAUAAAUUUGGAUAGCCAUGCGAAAAUGGCUUAUAUACACUUUGAGCUUAGUAUUAUAAUCGUCUUGUAUGAUGUUCAUUAAGAGGUAUGGAAAUGUUUGGGAACGAUUAGCCGUUGGAAUGGUUAAUCAUGAUCAUAUUUUGUGCUAUAUAUGCUAAAGGGCUAGUUGAAUCAUGGAAACUAUGUAAUAGGUAAAGUCUACCUUAAAAAUAGAUGCUGAUAGCAGCAGUGACGUGAAUGUGAAAAAUCACUAAAAAUAGUACGAAUGGAAUUAAAUAGUGAAUAAAUUAUGUAAUCUAACCUUGAUGAAUCUAUUUUCAUAUGAAAGUAACGAAACGAUCAUAUGAACAGUAUAUUAUGAGAUAUUUAAGUUUUCGCGAAACAGGGCCAGAACGGUUUCUGGAUUCCCUGUUCCGAAUUUGGAAAUUCAUUACAAAUUAACCAGAGAUAAUUAAAAGUCAUUCCAUAUAUGUAUAGUUUCCUUUUUGAGUCUAGUUUCUAUGGAAACAAAUGAAAUCAGUAUUGAAGCCCUGUACAGGGAGAUAUCCAAGUAAUGUGCAAAGGUUAGUGUAGUCGAACCCUGAAACAGGGAAGACUUUAACUAAUAAAAUGUACUAAUUUGCUCGACCACAAAUUCUAGAAAAAUAUUUUUAGAUUGAUAUAUGAGUCUAGUUUCAGGAAAAAUUUACGAAACUGAUUUUCGAGUUUUGAAACUCAAGAUAUGAUUUUUAAGGAGACAGUGAUGCAGUAACCCGUGUGUCUGGAAAUUUUUAAAUGGACUAUGGAAAUAAGUGAAUUAAGGCUGUUAACCCCUCGUGUCUGACCCCGGCGACGGUCUCGGGUAUGGGGUGUUACAAAAAGAGACAAUAAUCACACAAAGUAAGCUACAAAGAGCUUAGUAAGCCAAAUACAAUUGGUCUAACUACUAAAGCAUAUAAGUACAAUUUAACCAUAAAGAUUCAUAACCAUUUCAAAGAAUAAUUCAGAAGCUUAACUGUGCUCCUUUGUUUGCAUAUAUGUCAUGCUUCAUUUCCAAUUCUAUACAUAUUUCACAGAGAUAGAGUUUUUCAUAUUCGAAAAUUUAGAAUGAUACAAACGUACUUGCAUAGGUUAUACAUUUCAUAUACUCAUAUUUCGUACGCUAUCAUUAGACGGUUCAGAAAUGAUACAGAUGCUCAAAAUCAAGUACAAUGCCGACGUCCCUUACGUGGUCUUACAUGUAAUUCAAUAUUGAUGCCUCUGUCCCAGACAGGGUCUUACACAAAAUUAGAUACGAUGCCGAUGUCCCAGACAUGGUCUUAUACGUAAAUCUCAAACGAGGCCUGUGUCCCAGACACGGUCUUACACGAUAUCUCAAACAAAUGUCAACUUUUCUUAGAAGCAUACAGAGCUUUUCAGAUAUUAACAUAUUAUCAUACUUUACUCCGAAGAUAUUCAUCAGGCACUCAAGGCCAUCCAAUACAGAUUACAAUUUAUAUGUGCAGAAUUUAUUUCAAUUAACACGUAAUUGUAAUUUGACUUACCUCAGACGGAUUUCGGAUAAAACGAGUCAACUAUUCAACUAUUUUGGACUUCCCUCGAUCUAAGUCUAAUUUUCUUUGUUCUUGAUCUUAAUUAAGGAUUAAGUUAGCCGAAUAUCAAAACCCUGUUUUUGCUAUUUUUCUUGCUUCAUUUGGCCAAGAGAAUGAUAAAAUGGCCAUUAUUUUAUGUUAUAUUUUAUUUAACACAUAUUAUAAUACUUUUUCCCAUUUUACCCUUAUUAUUAACACAUGAAAAUCCACCUACUAAUGUCCAUCAUUGUCCACCAUUAAUACAAAUGGUAAAUUUGACAUGCAAGGACCCUUAUUUUAAAAGCCAAGCCAAUUAGGUGCUUUAACAUUUAGCACUCAACUUUUACACUUUACGCUAUUUAAUCCUUUUUUAAUAAUUAUGCAUAGAAACAGACAAAUUAAAUUACAGAAAUUUCACAAAUGUAAAUUCACAUAUCACAGACAUAGAAAAUAGUAUUAAAAUAUUUUUUGGACUCUAAUUUGUGGUCCCAAAACCACUAUUCCGACUAGGGUCGAAACCUGACUGUUAAAAUUCUCCCCCCUUAGGGGUUUUGGUCCCAGAAAAUCUUACCAUUAAACAGAUUUGGAUAUUGUUGUCAUUACAUCAUCGGGCUCCCACAUAGCCUCUUCUACACUGUGAUGAUGCCACAUCACUUUAACUAGAGGAAUUUUCUUAUUUCGUAACUUUUUAAUCUCACGGGCUAAAAUACGGAUCAACUUUUCUUUGUAAGUCAUAUCAGACUGAACUUCAAUCUCAGAAGGGGAUAUCACAUGAGACGGAUCAGAUCUAUACUGUCAAAGCAUCGAUACAUGAAAUACAUUAUGAAUCUUUUCUAACUCAGAUGGUAGCCUCAAUCUAUAAGCAACUGGCCCAACUCGCUGGUGAUUUCAUACGGUCCAAUGAACCUCGGACUCAACUUCCAGUUUUUACCAUAUUGAAACAAUUUCUUCCACAAGAUACUUUCAAAAACACUUUAUCACCGGUCUCAAAUUCAAUAUCUUUUCGUUUUAAAUCCGUAUAAGAUUUCUGACGAUCAUAGGUAGCUUUCAAACUAUCUCGGAUUACUUUCACUUUCUAUUCUGUUUCUUUUAUCAAAUCAAUACCGUAAAUCUUAUUCUUACUGAGCUCAGACCAGUAUAAUGGAGUUCUACACUUUCUACCAUAGAAGGCUUCUUACGGUGCCAUUUUGGUGCUCGAUUGAAAGCUAUUAUUAUAAGCGAAUUCAAUCAAAGGUAGAUAUUGUUCCCAUACACCUUCAAACUCGAGAAUGCAACAUGUCAACAUAUCCUCGAGUAUCUGAAUAAUCGAUUCUGAUUGGCCAUCUGUUUGCGGAUGAAAAGGGGUGCUAAAAUGCAAUUUAGUACCCAGAGCAUCUUGCAAUUUCUUCUAGAAUCACGAUGUAAAUCUCGGGUCUCUAUCAGACACUGUUGAGAAUGGCACAGCAUACAAUCUCACAAUAUCAUAGAUAUACAACUCAGCUAGCUUAUCAAGCGAAUAAUCAAACUGAAUCGGAAUAAAAUAAGCUGAUUUCAUCAAAUGAUCAACUACAACCCAAAUUGCGUAUUUCUUUUUCAGAGACAAAGGCAAACCUAAAACAAAAUCCAUGGUCACUCGAUCCCAUUUCCAUUCUGGAAUCAUAAUCGGUUGUAAUAACCCAGAUGGCACCUGUUGCUCACCUUUAACUUGCUGAUUGAUUAAACAUCUCGCAAAAAAGUCAAAAAUAUCUCUUUUCAUUCCCGACCACCAAUAUAGUUGUCUCAAAUCGUUAUACAUUUUCGUACUUCCUGGAUGUACAUAAAAUCUACUACUUUGAGCUUCAUUCAAAAUCGUUUGAAUCAAAUCUGGAUUUCUUGGAACACAAAGUCUAUUUUUGAACCUCAGAUAGUCAUCAUCAUCUAUUCGGAAUUCAGAAUCAGACUCAAAAUUACACUGAGUUCGUUUAGCCAUAAUAUCAUUAUCAAUCUUCUAAGCUUCGAUAAUCUGUUGUAAAAAUAAAGGUCUCACUUUUAAUUCAGCUAAAACUGAACCAUCAUCAGACAUAACUAAAUGAGCAUUCAUUACAAAUAACAAUUUUUGACUCAAAGCAUCAGCAACCACAUUUGCUUUUCUUGGGUGAUAAUCAAUCACUAGUUCGUAGUCUUUUAGCAGUUCUAACCAUCUUCUUUGUCGGAAAUUCAAAUCUUUUUGCAUCAUCAAAUAUUUCAGACUUUUAUGAUCAGAAAACACGUGACAUUUUUCACCAAACAGAUAGUGACGCCAGAUCAUCAAAGCAAACAUGAUGGCAACUAACUCAAGGUCGUGUGUCGGAUAGUUCUUCUCAUGCAGUUUCAACUAUCUCGAAGCAUAAGCAACAACUUUUCCUUCUUGCAUUAAAACACAACCUAGUCCAUUCAACGAAGCAUCGCUGUAAUAGAGCUUUAGUUACUUUUAAUCGGAGCUUCAGUUACUUUUAACCGAUCAAAACUUUUUUGACAUUUUUCAGACCAUUCAAAUUUCACAUCUUUUUGAAGCAAUUUUUCCAACGGAGUUGCUAUCACAGAGAAAUCUUUUACAAAUCAUCUGUAGUAACUGGCAAGUCCCAGAAAAGUGCAAACUUCAAAUACAUUCCUCAGAGGCUUCCAAUCCAAAAUAGCUGAAAUCUUACUCGGAUCAACUCGGAUACCGGAAGCUGAUACAAUAUGACCUUGAAAACCAACUUCUCGCAACCAGAAUUCACAUUUACUAAACUUUACAUACAACUAUUUAUCUCGCAGAGUCUGUAGCACUAUUUUCAGAUGUUCAGCAUGCUCAGAUUCAUCACAAGAAUAAAUCAAAAUAUCAUCAAUGAAUACAACAACAAAUUAAUCAAGAUACAGUCCGGAAAUUCUAUUCAUUAAAUCCAUAAAUACAAUAGGUGCAUUCGUUAAACCAAAAGGCAUAACUAAAAAUUCAUAAUGCUCGUACCUCGUUCUGAAAGCAGUUUUCAGAAUGUCAGAGUUCUUUACCCGCAACUGAUAGUAACCCGAUCUCAAAUCUAUCUUUGAAAAUACAGUAGUACCUUUCAACUGAUCGAAUAAGUCAUCAAUUCGAGGCAGAGGAUAUUUGUUCUUCAUAGUCACUUUGUUAAGCUAUCGGUAAUCAUUACACAUUGUCAUUGUGCCAUUUUUCUUUUUCACAAACAGAACAGGAGCACCCCAUGGUGAAAAACAUGGUCUAGCAAACCCUCGAUCGGUCAAUUCUUACAACUGAGAUUUUAAUUCUUUUAACUCGGUUGGAGUCAUUCUAUACAGAGCUAUUGAAAUUAGAGUAGUACUAGGAGCUAAUUCAAUGCCAAACUCGACUUCUCGAAUCGGAGGUAAACCAGAUAGUUCUUUAGGAAACACAUCAGAGAAUUCAUAAACAACAUGCACUAAUUCAACUUUCUUAUCAUUCACUUUCGAAUCUAUCACAUAAGCUAAGUAGGCUUCACAAUCUUUCUUCACAUAUUUCCGUAUUUUCAUUAUAGAUAUCACAACUGGCAAUCCAUUGAGAUCACUAGACUCAAUUCGGAUUAUCUCAUCAUUCUUACACCUUAAAUCAAUGACUUUUUGUUUGCAAUUCACAAUAGCAACAUGCAAAGUUAACCAAUCCAUUUCCAGAAUUAUGUCAAAUUUAUCGAAAGGUAAAAGCAUCAGAUCAGCAAGAAAACAGAUAUCUCGUAUCAUUAACGGGCAAUUCUUGCAGACUUUAUCAACCAAGACACUUUUGCCUAAGGGGUUCGAUACUCUAAUUAAGAAUUCAGUAGACUGUACAGGCAAAGUCUUACUAUGCACUAAAUUCAUACAGAUAUAAGAAUUCGUUGAUCCAAGAUCUAUCAAUACAAUCACAAAAGUAUCAUAGAGAGUAAAAGUACCAAUAAUCACGUCUGGAGACGAGGCUUCCUCACAAGCUCGGAUAGCAUAGGCUUCCUCUAAUCAUCAAAGGACAUUUCUCACAUACUUUAUCAACUAAUACAUGCUUGCCUAAAUGGUUUGACACCUUAAUCAUAAAUUUUGUAGACUCAGCAGGCAUAUUCUUACUAAUUACCAAAUUCAUGCAUACAUAUGAAUGGGUAGAUCCAAGGUCAAUCAAUGCAAUAACAUCAAUAUCAUAAAGAGAAAAAGUACCAGUAAUAACAUCGAGAGAAGAUGCGUCCUCACGAGCACAAAUGGCUAUUUGAGAACUCAACUGAAGCAUGAGAACGAGAAUGCAUCUCUCAAGAUUUCUUAGACUGAGAUUGGAAUGAGUGCUCUAGCGUUAGAUCUCUCUGUGAAUCCUUCGUCAUAUUUUUGCUACUAGCUCCAUUCCUGGUAUUUCUCGGGGGUCUCCCUCUAGAAGCAGUAUUACUCGGCCUUGUACUCUAAAACUUUUCUUUUUCAAUCAUCUCAGGGCAAUCUUUAAUGAAAUGAUCUUGGGAACCACACUUGAAACAAGCUCGGUCAUUCAUUCAACACUUGUCGGGUGACACCUUCCGCAAUGUGCGCAUCCAGAUUUAUUGGGUCGGUUAUCAACGCUUACAAUAGAAGUAGUAUGAGCUUUAUAGCCCGAAUAUUGAUUUCCAUGGUUUCUAUUUGAGAACUCAACUGAAGCAUGAGAACGAGAAUGCAUCUCUCAAGAUUUCUUAGACUGAGAUUGGAAUGAGUUACCCAUCAGCCUCUUUCUUGCAUAUUUAGCCUCAAACUUGGCUUUUCUCUUUUCUUUGGUCAGUUCAUCUGCUUUACAAGCUCGAUCAACGAGCACAACAAAUUCUUUUAGCUCAAGAAUACCCACUAAUAGUCUGAUGUCUUCAUUAAACCUGUCUUCAAACCUUUUACGCAUAAUAGCUUCGGAGGAAACACACUCUCUAGCAUAUUUGCUGGGCCGAACAAAUUCCAUUUCAUAUUCAACGAUUGACAUGAGGCCCUGUUUCAGCUCAAGAAACUCUUUAUGCCUCUAAUCAAUGAAUCGCUCACUAAUAUACUUCUUUUGGAACUCCUCUUGAAAGAAUUCCCAUGUAACUCUCUCUUCCAGAAUCACAGAUACUAGUGUUUUCCACCAAUGAUAUGUCAUGUCCCUCAGUAAAGUUAUAGCACAUUUCAAGCAUUCAUCUCGUGUACAAAAUAAUUCAUCGAACACUUUAAUAAAAUUCUCGAGCCAAAAUUCUACUUUUUCGGGAUCAUCAUCGGUAUUUGCUCUAAAUUAUUCAGCCCUUUCCUUUCAAAACUUAUCAACCGGGGUUCUAUUCAAUCUCAUAAAGUCCUUACCUUAAGGCACUAUGGGGACAGGUUCAAGAUUAGGAGGGGGUGGAGCAGGUUGUUGUUGAGCGGCAAGGUUUGUUUAAACGAACCUUUAGAACCAAUCAUUCAUCAUUUGGAAUAACGCUUUCCGAGCCUCUCUUCCUUGACUCAUAGUUACAGGUCCACUCUCAACUGGCACCGUCCCUUGGGCGGGAACCAGCGCAUUACUGUCUACAUCAUCUACCACAGCUCGAUUGGGAUCCAUUACUAUAUGAAAACACAGUUUAAAAUUGUCAGGAGUUGUCACACUAUCACAAUUUAUAUAAGGCAUGUAUAGCUGGACUCGUACACAAGCUACAUUAGUCUAAGAAUCGAGUAAACCAUAGCUCUGAUACCACUAAAUGUAACAUCCCUUACCUGUAUCAAACGCCGAAACAGGGACGAGGCAUUACCGGACUUAAAUAAGAGCUAACAUACAAACCGAGGCAUAAAUUUCCAUCCAAAUUUAAAACUAUUCAUUUAUAAUCAUAUAGUCCCUAAAACAAGCCUACGAGGCCCAAAACAUGCAUUGGAGGCGGUUCAGGACUAAAUCGAGAACUUUAGAAAAUUCUUCAGUACUUAGAAAGUUUUUCAUCAAAAUAAGGUCACACACCCGUAUGGCUUGGGACACGCCCGAGUGGGUAGGCCGUGUGAUCAAACACGCCCGUGUCCCUAGCCCGUGUAACUCUCUUUCUAUGACAUCAUGCACCAAACGUAGUCACACACCCAAGUCACAGUCCGUGUGCUAAGCCGUGUGGCGAAUUUAAUUUUUGAAAUUUUUCAUAAAUUAGGUGCAGACUUCACACGCCCUGGACACACGCCCAUGUCCCUAGGUCGUGUUCGUCACACAGCUGAGACACAUGGCCGUGUCUCUGCCUGUAUGGCCAACAAUAAGGCUAUUUACCCAGCCAUUUUCCCACCCUUACCUGCACUAACCUACACAACACUAAGCAACACGAAUCAAGCAUAUACAUACAACCAAACCAACCACAAACUAGAUAUCAAUACAUCAUUUACACAUACUAACAUCUAUCAUGAAUAAACAUCACAUAUUAUCAUUUCCAUUCAUUCCCAUUUCAUCUUCAUGAUAAGCAUUAUCACAUAAACAUACUAAUGACCAAUAAAAUUUAUAUUAGCCAACUUUGAAAGGCCAUAUACAAAAUGAAUCAUUAAUCAUUACAAUGCCAACAGAUUUGGCUAAACCAAUAUGACAUGUAACAAAAUGACCAAGUCCCCAUACAUGCAAUACUCAAAAUAUUGAAACCAAGAAUACCCAUAAUAAUCAUUUGAUAGUGUAAAUCGAGCUUCGAUGUUCCUCAAUCUCCGAGCUAGCUUGGUGGCACUAUAAGGAAUGGAAAAAAAAGGGGAAUAAGCUUUUAAGCUUAGUAACUUUGCAUGCAAAUAAUAUGCAAUAUAAAUCAUACAUUAAUCAUAUAACUACUUAACAUAAGUUAACAUAAUUAUCAUCAUGUAUCUUAGGCUUAACUUACUCAUUAGCAUUCUUACCAAGAGUUCAUCUCAAACUAAAGUCCAUACUCAUGAGUUUUACAUACAUACAUGUAUCAACUCAUAGUAUAGUUGCAUACUUUGUCAUCUUUGACAUAAUCUUCAGAUUACCCAUUGAACACUUGGAAUAUUAUCGGACACAUGGAAAGCCUUGCACAUAAGUGGCUAAUAAACCGUAAUUUAUACAUAUUUUUAUCCCAUGCUUAGCACAUUUAUGGAUGGUUUCUCCUUAGAUUUGGUGAAUUAGAUGCUCCUAAUUCUUUAAUUUCAUGUUUUAUACUUAGGUGAGCAUAGGAGAGUAAAAAGAGCGAGAAACGGGCUAAAAACAGAGAAAAUGGACCCACAUGGGAAAUCAACACGGCCUGGACUUCCUGACACGGGUAAGCCAUACAGCCAUGUCCAUUUGGCAGGAUCAAAGCAUGACUUACACUGGUAGACUAUACACCCAUGCCUAUUUAACAGCCUUGACCACAGGCUGGAGCAAUCGCACACAGGCGUAUCACAUGGGCGUGUCACUGUCAAGCCCAAGUAUAGUCCUAUUCAGAAAAGGCCACUUUUGAGGGCUCUUAGGCAUUCAAAAGCCUAUUUAAACACCUGAAGAGGCACUUAGAACAGACACACAGAGUAGGAGGCAAGGAAUUACUCAAGGGAAGCUGAUUGAUCGAUCUCAGAAGCUGGAUUCAUUGUCAAGACUGAAGAUCUCCCUUCAAUUUCCAUUCAAGGGUUUUGGGUUUUCUUUAUGUUUUUUAUCUUUAUUCUUUUGAGAUGUUUUCUUUCAUAAUUAUGAGCUAAAACCCCUAAAUAUCUAAGGGGAAUAAAACCUAAGAUAGAUCUUUUUAUUAUUAUCUGAAUUGCAUGAUAAAUAUUUGACUUGUUCUUAAUUAUGUGUUCUUAAUUCUUGUCCUAAUAUUCCAGGAUAUUGAUUCAAGUUAAUGCUGUUAUUCAAAGGAGAAAAAGUCCCUGUCUAAGAGUAAAUUUUUCGUAAUUAAGCGUUGAUUGCACGCCUAGAGAUAGGGUGACAAGAUUUUGCCAGAUUAGGGUGAAACCUAAUAAGGGAGUCCAUAGAUCGAGUUAAUGCAACACUAGGUGUUGAUUAGAAAGAGAUUUCAAUUAAUCAACCUAGGGUUAGACGUUAUUAGUCUCGAGAGAGAUAAUAAUAUAACUUAGGGAUUUCUACGGAUCAAAUCAAAUGAAUACAUCGUCUAAUUCAGAGUCAAAUAACAAGUGAAGUUUAGGUGGAUUUUUCCUUGGGUAUUAUCUUAAUCAAUCGAGUUUUCUCAAAAGCUUUUCCCCAAUUUUCUCUCUGUGCAUCGUUAGUUUAGUUAAUUAGUUUAGAUAAACAAACCCAUAAUUUUUUAGGCUAGAUAAUAAAAAGGAAGUAAUUACUAGUACUCUUGGUUCCUUUGGGUUUGACAAUCCGGUCUUGCUAAAGCUAUACUACUGUUCGAUAGGUACACUUGCCUUUAUGGUGGUUAUAGUUUGUUUCAAGAACGAUUAAUUAUAAAUUUUUAAAUCCUGUCGUGAAUAUCACGUAUCAAGUUUUUGGCACCUUUUCCGAGGAACUAAGACAUUAGGAACACUCGAUUUUUAUUACUUUAGCCAUUUUACUUUAUUUGCAAUUUAAAUUUUGAUUUUCUUUUCUAAUUUUUCUUUUAUUCGUUCAUGGCAGGUUUUUCUAGUGUAUGACUAGAAGAAACUUGUCGGGACCAUUACUUUUUGAUAGUGAGAUCGAUCGCACAGUUCGAAGAAAUCGAAGAGAAAUAAGGCAAAGCUUACGAUCCACAGAGGAGGAGCAAGAGGACGAUAGUUCAACUACAACCGAGGAGGUGACAAAAAACCAAGAAAAUUCGCUACCUCCUGCGAUUUCCGUUGAUCCAGUAAAUCAGAAUCCUGCUCUGUGUACUAUGUAUGAUUAUGCUAAACCUUCUUUAACAGGAAUUGAAUCGAGCAUAGUUAGGCCUACUAUUGCUGCGAAUAAUUUUGAACUAAAACCUAACACCAUUCAAAUGAUCCAACAGUUUGUUUAGUUUGAUGGUUUGCAGGACGAGGACCCAAACACUCAUUUGGCGAAUUUCUUAUAAUUUUACGAUACUUUUAAAAUCAAUGGCAUUUCUGGUGAUGCCAUUUGCCUUCAGUUAUUCCAUUUUCAUUGAGGAACAAAGCUGAACAGUGGUUGAACUCGUUACCAUGAGGGUUAAUCACUACUUGGGAACAAAUGAUCGAAAAGUCUUUAUUAAAAUAUUUUUCGCUGGCUAAAACGGCUAAAUUAUGUAAUGACGUCUCUUCUUUUGUGCAGAUGGAUUUAGAAACACUCUACGAUGCAUGGGAGAGAUACAAGGACCUUUUACGAAGAUGCCCUCACCAUGGGUUACCAUUGUGGCUACAGGUUCAAACUUUUCAUAAUGGCCUGAAUCCUUCCACUAGACAGAUGAUUGACAUAGCUGCUGGUGGAACUAUCAAUAAUAAGACACCUGAGGAUGCUUAUGAAUUUAUAGAAGAGAUGUCACUGAAUAAUUAUCAGUGGCAAGUCAUGAGGACAAAGCCAACGAAAACAGCUGGCGUUUUUAACGUCGAUUCGGUCACCAUGCUCUCUUAUCAUGUAGAAGUUUUGAAUAGAAAAAUUGAUGGUUUUCUUAGUUCUUCUAGGUUCACCUAGUAAUGUAGUGCGCAGCAAGUGUAGGUAGAUCAAGCAAUUUAGAAUACCCACCCAAUGGCCACAACAUGGAGAACGAGCAGUUAAAUUAUAUGGGUAAUAAUCGUCGAUCUCAAAAUAAUCCUUAUAGUAAUACUUACAAUGCAGGUUGGAGGAACCACCCAAAUUUCUCAUGAGGAGGCCAAGGUAAUCAGAGACCACCACCUCCAGGCUUCCAACAACCACCCUACCAACAAGACAAAAAGCUAAACCUUGAGAAGAUGCUAAUAAAAUUUAUCUCAGUGUCAGAAACUCGUUUUUAAAAUACCGAGAUAGUAUUUAAGAAUCGGCAAACAUUGAUCCAAUGGCUCGAAACUCAGAUAGGACAGCUCGCCAAAUUAAUAUCUGAACGACCACAAGGUAGCCUGGCGAGUAACACUGAAUCUUAUCCAAUGGAACAACUCAACGCAAGUACCAUCCAAGACAAGGAAGAGUUAGCGUAACCUGAACCAGAAUCGAGGCAAGGAAUUGUGGUAAGUAAAAGAAGAGGUGAGGAAGGCCACAGUGAACAAACACCGAUAACUAAAGAGUACAAACCUCGUGUGCCAUAUCCCAAUUCGACAAGCAAAGACCGCAUAGACGAACAAUUCGGUAAAUUCCUUAAAUUAUUAAAGAAAUUGCAUAUUAACUUACCAUUUAUUGAAGGUAUUUCACAGAUGCCAAACGCAGUAAAUUCUUAAACGAGCUUUUAACAAAUAACUGGAAGUUGGAUGAAGUGUCACAUGUGGAGCUACAUGCGGUUUGCUCAGCCAUACUAGAGAAUAAGCUGGCCAACAAAUUAAAAGAUCUAGGGAGUUUUACGAUUUCUUGUUUAAUUGGUAGCUUAGAUGUUAAUAAUGCUUUGGCUGAUUUAGGGGCUAGUAUCAAUGUCUUGCCUUACAAAAUGUUUAAGCAACUAGGUCUUGAGAAACCCAAACAAACUAGGAUGAGUAUUCAAUUAGCUGAUAAAACAAUCAGAUUUCCUAGGGGUAUUAUUGAAGAUGUUGUAACACCACCAACCCGGCCUAGACGUUACAGCCGAAUCUGGUGUGUCACAUUACCUACAACUAACCAAGUUACCUAGUUUACUAAAGCUUAUGAGAGCUUUACAAAAACCAUUAAUGAAGUUUUAAGAGAAAUGUUUCGAUUCAAUAGUGUGAGUCCUAUCCAUUAUCGAUUGUUAAGGGUUUAGAAAAAACGUGACUUUUGUUGCACCUUGAAAAGUUUCAUUUUGAAGACGUUUGAUUGUCGUGUCUGUUUGAAACAAGUAAUUUUUGAUAAAACCAUAGUUAACCAAUUUCAAGGAAUCAAUUUAAGUGAUGUGAAUCUCAAGUCGAAAACGAUUUAAGUAAUUUAAAAACCCAAAAUAAAAAUAAUAGAGCGGCCUUAUUACAACUUUAACCAAAAUAGAAAUAAUCAAAAAUAAAUGCGAAAUUUAAAAGGAAGCUACUUGAAACUUAUUUAAAACCAGAAAUUUAAUCUUCGUGGCCACUCUGAAUCCCGCCCAGCUCCAAGUCCACCAACUAGGGCUCACCUGCAAGGAUGGAAGAGAAAGGGGGUGAGUUUCGAAAACUAAGUGUAUAUGGAAAACCCAUCCAAAGCCCAAGUCAGCUCAAGCCCAUUGGCCUAAGCCCUAUUCAGAUAACCGCGGGUACUGGGCCGAAGCCCUUUUCAGAAUACGAUAAACUGGGCCUUAGCCCCUUUUCAGAUAACAGUAUCACCCAUAGGCCCAUUCUAGAACAGAACAGACAUAUUCGGGUAUGCAAACCCAACCCAGCCUAUAACCAACCACUACACUCCACUCGUACCAGCCCUCCACUCCAUGUGGGGAAUAGCUCAACCCAUCCAGCCCUACACUCCAUAGUUGCAGCAUAGCUGCUCAGAUAUCACUAAGUUGAGGCAAAGCCUCCAGUACGUGGUCAAGCCACUUUCAGUACUUCCUCCAUCAAUAACGCAAUCCCAUGCAUCAAAUAAUAAUAACAUGGCAUGCAGUAAAUAGUAACAGUCAAACAUGCAUUCAGGUCAACCUUAACCCUCGGGGUAUAUCAGUAAUUUUGCUCCUAGGGGUAAAACUAUAAACUUUCCACCUAUAAAGGUAUUUCAGUACUUUUAUCAGUUUUAAGGGUUCUCAUUAAUGUUACAGUCCUUACUAGCCCAUUUUUCAUCACAGUAAUUUAUUUAUCUCAAUUUCACAAUUUUAGCCAUUGGGCCCUAAAACCCUUAAUGGGCCCUACAGUGUCCAUUAGCAAUUUAAGCCCAUUUAACUCAAGUUUUAUGACCAAUUUACCGGUUUACGUAGUUUCGAUUCUACAGUCUAAUAGAACAUACUUAUUGCCUUUUUUAUAUUAUAAAUUAUUAUUUUUUUAUUAACCCGUAUGGGCCCGUAAACCCAUUGGGCCCAGUUUUAGCCUAUCGAGGCCUAAUUACCGAAGUGCACGAAAUUUCACACACGACUAACUUACCACUUUGCGAUUUCAGAUCUAAUGAUUUCUAAACGUCUUGUGAGCACUCGCACACUCACAAGCGCACGAAAUGACGAAAUUUUGGCAUUUUGGCUUUUGCUGAAUUGAACUAGGAGAGGGUGUUCGAUACACACCUGUGUCGCAACGACUGCUACUGAGAUCCCUUGCGAUGUCCUACAAUUGAUUACCACAAUUCUUAGAUUGCAACCCACAACAACAAAUCCCAAUAUUCAGCAACCCAUAUUUGAACCAUGCCCCUAAAGCCUUUAGAAUCUUACCUUUUUACCGAAAACCGAUAACUAGAUCUGAGUCUAGUUGUUCCAAAGAUCCAAGCCUUCGAUCAAACCUAUUGAAGACACUAAUCACCAAAAGAAAUCAUCGGUUAAAGACCCUUAAAGCCCUAUGCCCAAAUCGAUAGCCUCCCUAGAUUUUAGGGACUUCGGCUUUUCUAAAUUGUAAAAUAAGACUAGAUCUGAGGUGAUGAGCACUUACCACUUAUUCCUCUUUGAUUUCUAUAUAGAUCUGAUGUAGAUCUAUUAAUUGAGAAUAGAAGCUCGUUCCUUUUUGUUUCCCUAUAAUUGGGGCCGUAGAGCUCUAUCCAUUUAUUCACUCGACCCAACUUUGAAUUCAAUUCAUUGUUUUUGUUCCGCACCAAAAAUUCAAAAAUGGUUUAAGACAGAAAAUUGUUUGGCAUUCUGGAAUGAAUGAAUGGAAAAACUGGUUAAGGAGUCAUUAUCAAUACGAUUUAGUUCAGAAUAGAUGGCUAAAAUUAGUACCAGGACAAUGGCGAAAUAGAGUCAAUAAUAUUAAAUUGAAAAAUAGGAACUUCGAAUCUUUUUCUGAUAUACAUAAAGUAAAUAGAAAAAGAUUCGAAGUGGAUUUCUCGACCCGUGAAAUGAAAAAAUAGCCUCUGGAGUUUUUUUGUUUUAUAUUCAUCUGAAGGAAAUAUGAGAAAGAAAACAAUAACAAUAAAUAAAAGAAAUAAAAUGAAGGAAAUAUAUCAGACUAUAGUAAUUUAAUACACAUAGAAAUUAGAAAAAUACAUAAAAAUAUUGAUUUUUAUCAAUUUCACGAACAAGAUCCAAGAAUAAGAUUAGUUGAUGGAGGGGGAGGGGUAGAUCUGGGGAUCAACCAGUAGCGAGAGAAGGGAUCGCUUCUUCCUUGAAUUGAAGAGUUCGUUCAAAAAAUUCAUCUAUCUGAUUGAUGAGCCAUAAGACAAUUCAUGGUUCAGACGACUAGUAAAAAUAGAAAAGAAUAAACGAAUUGAGUUCAUGGAUUUACCUAAGUCAGGUUAUGGACCAAUACAAGAAAAUAUUUUUUUAUAUUCGAAACCAAUUAAUUAUAAGGGGCAGUGCAUGAGAAAUCAAAUCAUACAUAAAAAAUCGAAUCCCCCAGCGCCCCCAUAACAUAAGGUGCUCGGAAAUGGUUGAAGUAGUU
rnacentral:lncRNA from 1 species